rnacentral:lncRNA from 1 species
UGGAACUCUUCGUUGAAAUAUCUUUCAUCUCUUUAUUCCUCUCCUCUUCCUAUUGCUGUUCUCCACUCCUUUCCUCUCUCUCAGCCGCAAGGACUUGCCCUCUGCGCGAGUGGGGGUGGGGGCAAGCUGGGGAUGGCCGCAGAGCGGGGAGCGGGAGCCGGAGACCGCCGGAUCUGGCUUUGUUAUUGGUCGGCUGCUGCCUGAUGGAUGGACGAGGGAGGAGUGAACUCUUCAGUCUGUUCCGACGGAGCUGAAGUACAGAAACCAUCUUUACAGUGUUUCAAAAUUCAAUGUUUAUGCACCACACCCAGUGCUCCCAGUCCUCCGUGUUAUUCCUUAUGCUCCACAAGUAAGUGACUCUUUCUGCUUGACUUAUUUCACUCAGCAUAAUCUCCUCCAGUCCCAU